ensembl:lncRNA
CCGCGUUGGCCGAACUCCCAGCAUCCUUUGCAGCGAUGCCAUUGGCCGAGCUCCCAGCAUCCUUUGCAGCCUCCGCGUUGGCCGAACUCCCAGCAUCCUUUGCAGCCUCCAAGUUGACCGAUCUCCCAGCAUCCUUUGCAGCCUCCGCGUUGGCCAAACUCCCAGCAUCCUUUGCAGCCUCCAAGUUGACCGAACUCCCAGCAUCCUUUGCAGAGAUGCCAUUGGCCGAGCUCCCAGCAUCCUUUGCAUCCUCUUGGACAGCCAAACUCCCAGCAUGCUUUGCAGCCUCUAGGUUGACCGAACUCCCAGAGUCCUUUGCAGCGAAGCUAUCAGCCAGAUUCCCAUCAUCCUUUGCAGCCCCUGAGUUGGUCGAGCUCCCAGCGUCCCUUGCAGCGAUGUUAUUAGUUGGACUCCCAGCAUCCUUUGCAGCCUCUGGGACAGCCAAUAUCCCAGCAUCCUUUGCACCCCCUGAUUUGGCCGAGCUCUCAGUGUCCUUUGCAGCCACAUUGUUGGUCGUGCUCCCAGAGUCCUUUGCAGCCCCUAAGCUGACUGAGCUCCCAGCAUCCUCUGGGGCCUCCGGGACAGCCAACGUCCCAGUGUCCUUUGCAGUCUCUGGGGUGGCCGCAUUCCCAGCAGCCUUUGUGGCUAUACCAUUGGCCGAGCUCCCAGCAUCCUUUGCGGCCAGGGCUUCUCCCUCGGCUGCAGGGGCGGGAGAGCCAUUGGCAGGCGCUUUCCCAGCACCCUCAGCGGUGGCCACACUCCCAGCAUCCUUUGCAACCUCUAGGCUGGCCAAGCUCCCAGCAUCCUUUGCAGCUGUGCUGUUGGACGAGCUCCCAGCAUGCUUUGCAGCCCCAGAGUCAACUGAACUCCCAGUAUCCUUUGCAGGUACAUUUUUGGUUGUGCUCCCAGCAUGCUUUGCAGCGUUCAAGUUGACCGAGCUCCCAGUAUGCUUUGCAGCCCCAGGGUUGGACAAACUCCCAGUGUCCUUUGCAGUGAUGCCAUCAGUCAAACUCCCAGCAUGCUUUGCAGCCCUGGACUUGGCUGAAUUCCCAGCAUCCUUUGCAGCGAUGCUAUCAGUCAAACUCCCAGCGUCCUUUGCAGCCCCUGAGUUGACUGAACUCCCAGCAUCCUUUGCAGCUCCAGACUUGGCCAAGCUCCCAGCAUCCUUUGCAGUGAUGCCAUCAGUCAAAUUCCCAGCAUGCUUUGCAGCCCCAGACUUGGCUGAAUUCCCAGCAUCCUUUGCAGCGAUGCCAUCAGUCAAAUUCCCAGCAUGCUUUGCAGCUCCAGACUUGGCCAAGCUCCCAGCGUCCUUUGCAGCGAUGUUAUCAGUCAAAUUCCCAGCAUGCUUUGCAGCCCCAGACUUGGCCGAACUCCCAGCAUCCUUUGCAGCGAUGCCAUCAGUGAAACUCCCAGCGUCCUUUGCAGCCCCAGGGUUGGCUGAACUCCCAGCAUCCUUCGCAGCGACGCCGGUCGCCG